rnacentral:rRNA from 1 species
UGGGGAAUAUUGCACAAUGGGCGAAAGCCUGAUGCAGCAACGCUGCGUGCGGGAUGACGGCCUUCGGGUUGUAAACCGCUUUCAGCAGGGACGAAGGUUUUCUGACGGUACCUGCAGAAGAAGCACCGGCUAACUACGUGCCAGCAGCCGCGGUGAUACGUAGGGUGCGAGCGUUGUCCGGAAUUAUUGGGCGUAAAGAGCUUGUAGGCGGUCCGUUGCGUCGGAAGUGAAAACUCAGGGCUUAACCCUGAGCCUGCUUUCGAUACGGGCGGACUUGAGGGAUGUAGGGGAGAACGGAAUUCCUGGUGGAGCGGUGGAAUGCGCAGAUAUCAGGAGGAACACCAGUGGCGAAGGCGGUUCUCUGGACAUUUCCUGACGCUGAGAAGCGAAAGCGUGGGGAGCAAACAGGCUUAGAUACCCUGGUAGUCCACGCCGUAAACGGUGGGCACUAGGUGUGGGACCCAUUCCACGGGUUCCGUGCCGUAGCUAACGCAUUAAGUGCCCCGCCUGGGGAGUACGGCCGCAAGGCUAAAAACUUAAAUGAAUUG